CCAGGGUAUUCUGGGCUCAGGCUUUGCCCUGAAGGUCCAGGAGCAGCACAGACAGAAGCACUUUGAGAAGAGAAGAAACCCCGCCGCCUACCUUAUCCAGUGUGUUUGGCGUAGUUAUUCGGCUGAUGAGAACUCGGUUUCCAUUGCUACGUGGAAGCCUCACUUGAAGGCGUUGCACACCUGCAGCCCAACGAAGAAGGAGCAGGGAGAGUCCAACACAAG